CGAGGCUGUGGGUGGAGAGGU
rnacentral:miRNA from 1 species